rnacentral:rRNA from 1 species
GCAUCACCGCGUGGGUCCUCCUUUGCCGGAGGGCCCGCGUCUUUACACAAAACUCGAUACAGUGUAGAAUGUUUAUUUUCGCGCUCGCACGCGAUCAAUAAUACAACUUUCAACAACGGAUCUCUUGGCUCUCGCAUCGAUGAAGAACGCAGCGAAAUGCGAUACGUAAUGUGAAUUGCAGAAUUCAGUGAAUCAUCGAAUCUUUGAACGCACCUUGCGCCCCUUGGCAUUCCGAGGGGCACACCCGUUUGAGUGUCGUGAAAUCUUCAAAAUCCCUCUCUUUUGAGGUUUUUUGGACUUGGAGGUUCAAUGCUCGCUUUCGCCUUUUAGAAAGCGAGCUCCUCUCAAAUGAAUCAGUGGGGUCUGCUUUGCCGGUCCUUGACGUGAUAAGAUCUUUCUACGUUUUGGAUUCGACAUCGUCCCGCUUCCAAUCGUCCAAUGGACAAAGGAUGGUGCUCCGGUCGCGGCCGGACCCACCAAAAAAACCUUGACCUCAAAUCGGGUGAGACUACCCGCUGAACUUAAGCAUAUCAAUAAGCGGAGGAAAAGAAACUAACAAGGAUUCCCCUAGUAACUGCGAGUGAAGCGGGAAAAGCUCAAAUUUAAAAUCUGGUGGUCUUUGGCCAUCCGAGUUGUAAUUUAGAGAAGCGUCUUCCGCGCUGGACCGUGCACAAGUCUCCUGGAACGGAGCGUCGUAGAGGGUGAGAAUCCCGUCUUUGGCAUGGACACACCAGGGCUUUUGCGAUGCGCUCUCGAAGAGUCGAGUUGUUUGGGAAUGCAGC